rnacentral:rRNA from 1 species
CAGUGUUAUCCGGAAUUAUUGGGCGUAAAGCGUCUGUAGGUUGCCUAACAAGUCUGUUGUUAAAGGUUAAAGCUUAACUUUAAAACUGCAGCAGAAACUGCUAGGCUUGAGUACAGUUGAAGUAGAGGGAAUUUCCAGUGAAGCGGUGAAAUGCGUAGAUAUUGGAAGGAACACCAAAGGCGAAAGCACUCUACUAGACUUUUACUGACACUCAGAGACGAAAGCUAGGGUAGCAAAUGGGAUUAGAUACCCCAGUAGUCCUAGCCGUAAACGAUGGAUACUAAACAUUGCGUGCAUCGAUCCGCGUGGUGUUAUAGCUAACGCGUUAAGUAUCCCGCCUGGGGAGUAUGCUCGCAGGGGUGAAACUCAAAGGAAUUGACGGGGGCCCGCACAAGCGGUGGAGCAUGUGGUUUAAUUUGAUGCAACGCGAAGAGCCUUACCAGGGUUUGACAUGGUGUUAAUUCUUUGAAAAAAGAAGUACCGUUCGCGGUAGACACACACAGGUGGUGCAUGGCUGUCGUCAGCUCGUGUCGCGAGAUGUUGGGUUAAGUCCCGCAACGAGCGCAACCCCUGUUUUUAGUUACAAGUAAUCUAAAAAGACUAUCGGUUAUAAACCGGAGGAAGGUGGGGACGACGUCAAGUUAGCAUGCCCCUUAUACCCUGGGCUACACACGUGCUACAUUGGGUAGGACAAUGAGACGCCAAACCGUGAGGUCGAGCUAAUCUACAAACCUACUCUAAGUUCGGAUUGGAGGCUGCAACU